rnacentral:rRNA from 1 species
AUUGAACGCUGGCGGAAUGCUUUACACAUGCAAGUCGAGCGGCAGCGCGGGGCAACCUGGCGGCGAGCGGCGAACGGGUGAGUAAUGUAUCGGAACGUAUCCAUAAGUGGGGGACAACCUAGCGAAAGUUAGGCUAAUACCGCAUACGAUCGAGAGAUGAAAGUGGGGGACCGCAAGGCCUCACGCUUUAGGAGCGGCCGAUAUCCGAUUAGCUUGUUGGUGAGGUAAAGGCUUACCAAGGCUAUGAUCGGUAGCUGGUCUGAGAGGAUGAUCAGCCACACUGGGACUGAGACACGGCCCAGACUCCUACGGGAGGCAGCAGUGGGGAAUUUUGGACAAUGGGGGCAACCCUGAUCCAGCCAUUCCGCGUGAGUGAAGAAGGCCUUCGGGUUGUAAAGCUCUUUUGUUCGGGACGAAACGGUUAAGGCUAAUAACCUUGACUACUGACGGUACCGGAAGAAUAAGCACCGGCUAACUACGUGCCAGCAGCCGCGGUAAUACGUAG